rnacentral:misc_RNA from 1 species
GAGAGAGAGAGAGAGAGAGCUCUUAUGUUAAAAAAAGGGUCUCCGUUUGCUACUGAUAUAUUACUCCUUCAAAUCUACAUCGCUCCUUCGAAAUCCUACCCGACCAAUGCCACCGCUGCCGCCGUCUACCGACCUCCGCCGCGUGAACCAGCGGAUUUGGCGGGCCUGCGCGGGGUCAUCGGUUCAUAUCCCUACCUUCAAUUCUAGGGUUUACUACUUCCCUCAAGGCCACCUCGAGCAAUCCUCCCCUUCUGCUUCUCCUGCUCUCCUUUCUACUCUUGCUCUCUCCAGACCUUUAAUCCUUUGCCAAAUCUCCGCUGUUCAAUUCCUUGCGGAUCCUGUUACUGAUGAGGUGUACGCGAAACUGCUUCUUUUUCCUAUUGAUCCUUCAUUGAACCAUUCUCUUCCCCUCCUGGAACCUUGUGGAUGCCUCGAGCGAGAAGGCAGAGAUGAUGAUGAGGAUAAGAUUGUGGCGUUUGCGAAGGUUUUGACUCCCUCUGAUGCCAAUAAUGGUGGCGGUUUCUCUGUUCCAAGGUUUUGUGCGGACUCCAUAUUCCCGCCUUUGAACUACCAAGCGGACCCGCCUGUCCAAACCCUAACAGUUACCGACAUUCAUGGCGUUUCUUGGAAUUUUAGGCACAUUUAUCGAGGGUCACCACGCAGGCACUUGUUAACAACCGGGUGGAGUAAGUUCGUGAACCACAAGAAGUUGAUCGCUGGUGAUUCGGUGGUUUUCAUGAGGAAUUUGGCGGGAAAUAUGUUUAUUGGAGUGCGCAGGGCUGUGAGGUCGAACAAUGAUGAGGAUUGCUCUAGGUGGCGGGAGCAGAUUGGUUGCGUGACUGGUGAUGUGAAAAUGAAGGUGAAGGAGGAGGGGUUCUCGAGGAGCGUGAGAGGUAGAGUGUCGCAGGAGGCUGUCUUGGCGGCAGUAGAGAGGGCAGCGCAGGGUUUGCCAUUUGAGGUGGUGUAUUAUCCGAGGGCCGGUUGGUUCUCAGAUUUCGUGGUGAGGGCUGAGGUGGUGGAGCGAGCGCUCAGUGUGUUUUGGACGGCUGGGAUGAGAGUGCAGAUGGAAAUGGAGACGGAGGACUCGUCCCGGAUGACAAGGUUUCAGGGUACAGUUUCAUCUGCUGCUGUGCGAGACUGUGGGCCGUGGCGAGGCUCUCCUUGGCGCAUGCUUCAGAUUGCGUGGGAUGAACCUGAAGUUCUGCAAAAUGCAAAGAAAGUGAGCCCUUGGCAGGUCGAAUUUGUUGCACCCACACCACCACUUCAAGCUGCAUUCCCUCCUGUGAAAAGAUUCAAAAUUCCUGAAAAUUCUGGGUUGCUGACAGAUGGAGAUGGAAAACUGUUCUUUCCUAUGUCAGGACAAAGUAAUUCAACAGUGGGGAACAUGAAUGAGUCAUUGUUGAAUUAUAACACUUUUCCUGCUGGCAUGCAGGGAGCCAGGCAAAAUCCUUUUCCCACUUUUGGUUUAUCCAACUUCUUACGUGAGAAUGCUUCUCAAAUAUGCCCUGAUAAUGUCUUUGGUAGCAAGAUGGUUCAAAAACUGAAAACCGUAUCUACUGAGCUGACCAUUGGCAGUUCACAGUCUGACAACUUAUCCCUAGAUAGUCAGAGUAGCAUGCAUUCUUUUGGUUCAGAACUUGUUGCAAACCCAGGAAGCAGCUCAACAAAAGCUGGUAUUAGUUCAGUUCAGUUAUUCGGUAGGAUCAUUCAUGUGAACCAGCCUGUUGGAAGUGGUUUUGAUGAUGAUGGCUGCAUGGAAGAUUGUGGCAGUAAAGAGUACAAUGAAAACAAUCCGCUAGACCUUGCAUUAGCAUCAGCAUCCUCUUACACAGAGCUGCUCAACAGGAUUGAUGUCCAAUGCCAAUGAACAUCAAUGGUUGAAACUUGCUCUUUAUGAACUAGUAUUUGUGAAAUGUUAGGCAGAUAAGUAGCUGUACAGGUAUGAGUACCUCUGAAUAACCUACUGUAAUCCCCUUUCUUGUCCAAUUUGAUUACAAGCUUCAAUUCCAAGACAUUGAAGUCUUAUCCCAAAUGUUCUCCAUUUAGCUUUGAUAGCACAACAUUGUUGAUCAUAUGACAUGAUUCUCUAGAGUUUUUAUUCAUUUGUGUUGAUGCAUUUUGGAUAUUAUAAUUAUGCCAAAAUUUUAUCAUUUGCCUGUCAUUUGUGCUGGAUUUGGGGGGCUGGCCUAGUGUCACAAGUAACUUUCAUUAAUGGUGCUUCUUACGCUUCCUUGCAAUCUACAUUGAAGUAUUCAAAAUCUGUCUAAAUGUUGGUUAAUUUCUUACUUCAAACCAGUCUGUAUCGUAUUAUGUCCACAUUUGAGUUUGUUUUCAUUAUCAAUGUGGUCUAGUUGCUGCAGUUGUUAAAGUUGUAUUUACACUCUGAAUUUAUUUCAUCAUGUUCCCAAAAGGUGCUUUAAAGUGUGAUAUCAAGGCAUAUUCUCAUCUUUGUACCUAGGUACUACCAUACUAGUUUAUUUUUGGUUGCAGUGUUCUAUCUUACAGAAGCGUAACAUGUUUGCGUGCUAUGUGCUAUGAGCUUAUUGACUACAUAACUCCAGAAAACAGUAAGUCAAGUGUGUCAAAUUAUGUUAUCCUAAAAUGAACCUGAAUGCCAUUUGUUUAACCACAUAUAAGGACUCAGGAAAUUAAUGGAUUGAGUGAACUGUCAAUUGUCAGCAGAAGGUUCAAAUUUUUCAGGUUGGCAAGUUCGUUGAAAACUUCGGAGGCUCCAUUCGAUUGAAAGAAAGUGUGGAGGAAAAAAAUAAAAGAAAAUUGUUUUUAUUCUUUUUUGGCAUUCGAGUAUCACAAAAGGACCUUGCCACCACACACAACAAAAAUUGUUCCAUAUACUUCAUCCCAUAGCGAGCUCUCUUGCUAGACACGCCUUUUUAAUGAACAACUAAAGCAAUGAAUUUGCAGUUAUUUAUUUUUAUAGCUGCAAACCACCUUGUUAUGGUGAUAGUUUAUUGGUUUGGUUAUGCUUGAAGUUUCUUUUUUUUCCUCAGAUUGAACGUUUGUUUGUUUAUCCUUGGAUUGAGUGUGAACAAAGUUGUGGGAGCUCAAAAAAAUACGGCCUUAGUUUAGUUUAAAUGGCCGCAUUUCUAUCAAUACGAAAUUCCUGAGCUUUUUUAAUUCAUGUUUCCUUCAUUAUGGAAUUCCUAACAUUCUUUAUUGGUACAUUUUUGUAGGUACUACAAGCAGGCAGCAAGCUGACUUCUUAUUGGACCCUGCCAGUAGUAACUAUUGUGUGUUUUCUUUAGUCAGCGAUGUUGGAACUCGGACAAUUGUAAACAUAGUAUUUGUUUAAAUCAAGUAUUGAACGUUUGUGUGGCAAAUACAUACUGUUUGAGAGAUCAUAUUUCUUAGUUGCUUUAUCUAGUUUUGUUUCAUCACAAUGGCUGCGGAACAACUGGGUUUUCCCUAUGACAUGACCUGAAAAAAGAGGGGAUUACCUGCACCGAUGGUUAUGGGAAAAUGAUGCACGUUCAGAAGAUUAGGACCAUGUGCUGAUUCCCAUC